rnacentral:rRNA from 1 species
AUGAACUUAGUCCCGAUAGUUUUUGCAUAUCUAUGUUGUAGAUCAAUGGCCUGUGCUACGGUUCCCUUGAAUUUUAAUGCGUUCCUAGAGAAAGCUAAGUUGAAAGAUGAUGGUAGCAACUACAUGGACUGGGUCCGUAACUUGAGGAUUAUCAUCAUUGCUGCACAGAAGAAUUACGUCCUUGAAGCACCGCUAGGUGCAAGGCCUGCUGCAGGAGCAACAUUGGAUGCUAUGAACUUCUGGCAAGCUAAAUCUGAUGACUACUUGAUAGUUCAGUGUGCCAUGCUUUCCGGCUUAGAAUCGGGACUUCAAAGACAUUUUGAACGUCAUGGAGCAUAUGAGAUGUCCAAGGAGUUGAAGUUAAUAUUUCAAGCAAAUGUCCGAGUUGAGAGAUAUGAAGUCUCCAACAAGUUCUAUAGUUGCAAGAUGGAGGAGAAAAGUUCUGUCACUGAACACAUACUCAUAAUGUCUGGGUACCAUAACCACUUGACUCAGCUGGGAGUUAAUCUUCCGGAUGAUAGUGUCAUUGACAGAGUUCUUCAAUCACCGCCAUCAAGCUAUAAAGGCUUCAUGAUGAACUAUAAUAUGCAAGGGAUGGAAAAGACAAUUCCUGAGCUCUUCGCGAUGCUUAAGGCUACGGAGGUAGAAAUCAAGAAGGAGCAUCAAGUUUUGAUGGUUAACAAGACCACUAGUUUCAAGAAAAAGGGCAAAUGUAAGAAGCAGAACAUCAAGAAGAAUAGCAAGCAAGUUGCUGCUCCCGGGAAGAAGCCC